ensembl:lncRNA
CCAGAUCAGAGGCAGUAGGGAUGACCAGGGAUGUUCUCUGUUUAGUGAGUCCUCCAGAUCAGAGGCAGUAGGGAUGACCAGGGAUGUUCUCUGUUUAGUGAGUCCUCCAGAUCAGAGGCAGUAGGGAUGACCAGGGAUGUUCUCUCGCUAAAUAUAGACUUAGCUUUCAUUCGACAUACAAUUUGACAUGCUUCUAUGACCUUGACAUGUUGGUGCUCAUGGGUCCUUUUUACAUGGAAAUGCCCUAACCUAUUAGAGCCAUACUAAGCUAGCAGUUUCAUCAAGCUCUCCAAAAUAAUGAUAUCAAUGUUUCAAAGUUCAUCAAAAACAACCGUUGGCAACAUGAGGUAAGUAGUUAAAGAACAACGUUAUUACCAAUAAUGCUAACAAUGCUAACAAAGGCAUAAGACUUAAUGGAGAGCGCUAAAGUACCGUAUGCAGAAGAGAAACACUUUUCAGGCCACUCCAAUAAAGAACAGACUUAAGUUAGGAGAAUAAACACAGCAGGUUAGGAGAAUAAACACAGCAGGUUAGGAGAAUAAACACAGCAGGUUAGGAGAAUAAACACAGCAGGUUAGGAGAAUGAGGUUUAAGUUUAUGAAAAAGGUUAGCUCUCCUGACCUGCUCCAACGAAAAUCACCUCGUUUUGAAGUGGCUCUCCCGUAUGCAGAAUCAAACAUGAUGUUCUUUACUGGAGAAACCAAACUUUUUGUUUACUGAGGUCACAUGACGGGUAAGGUCAAAAAACCGCCAGCAGCGGACUGACAAACACACCCAAAUGGUACAUGAAUAAUCACAUUACAGAAGAAAAACUAAGAAUAGAGUUUCUAGACUCUACACAAGCUAUACCUGUCCCAAACACUGAACACUCCACACAAGCUAUACCUGUCCCAAACACUGAACACUCUACACAAGCUAUACCUGUCCCAAACACUGAACACUCUACACAAGCUAUACCUGUCCCAAACACUGAACACUCUACACAGCUAUACCUGUCCCAAACACUGAACACUCUACACAGCUAUACCUGUCCCAAACACUGAACACUCUACACAGCUAUACCUGUCCCAAACACUGAACACUCUACACAGCUAUACCUGUCCCAAACACUGAACACUCUACACAGCUAUACCUGUCCCAAACACUGAACACUCUACACAGC